GAUCAUGGAAUAUAAGGAAAUACUUCAAAUUUGAUAUUGUGAUUAAUUUAAGCAUAGCUUAUAAUUUUUAUUUUCUGGGUUUGUAGGUGGAAACACAAAUCCGUUGGAGCAGUCCAAGUCUGAGGAGUAAAACGAGGUAUAGUUUUCGCUUUAUUGAAAUUUCUUGAAAUUUGUAUUUAAAUGAGUGGAUUGAUCUUAUAUUUGGGCAGGUAUCCCAAUUUUGUGAGAAGAAUUAUUAUUUUUUGUAUCAUUGCACUCUGUUAUUUGGUGUUAACUGUGUUGAAUUGGGACAUUCAAGUAGAAGCAACAAGGCAAAGAGGCCAUAUUGGAAAAUAAUGUAUUCUUUUAUGUCACCUAUGGCUCUUCAAUUUUUCUGUUUCUUAAAGGUACAACAGCGCACUACACAAGACCAUCAAGUUGUGUUUCUCUAUGUCUGUUGUACAAUUUUAUUUUAUUUUCUCCUUGGCAUCUAGAUUUGUUGUCAUCUCUAGCUAUUUUUGUAGCUUGAAUGGUAGCUUAAUUUGAUGCGAAGCAUCCCUUUUAAAUAUUCAACAAAAUAAGAAAAAUAAACCUAAGAUUUCUUUAAAUCUCAUUUUCAAUAGUUUUUAGUGUGUUCAA